rnacentral:rRNA from 1 species
AUAAUACUCCAUAGUCCAUGGAAUCUGGAAUGAUCCAUGGAUGAAAGUUCCGGCGCUUAAGGAUUCGGUCUGCGGCCUAUCAGGUUGUAGUGGGUGUAACGUACCUACUAGCCGAUGACGGGUAUGGGCCUUGAGAGAGGGAGCCCAGAGUUGGAUUCUGAGACACGAAUCCAGGCCAUACGGGGCGCAGCAGUCGCGAAAACUUCACAAUGGGGGCAACCCCGAUGAGGGAAUUCCUAAUGCUAGCACAUUUGUGUUAGCUUUUCUUUAGCGUAGAUAACUAGAGGAAUAAGGGCUGGGAAAGACGGGUGCCAGCCGCCGCGGUAAUACCUGCAGCCCAAGUGGUGGUCGAGUUUAUUGAGUCUAAAACGUUCGUAGCCGGUUCGGUAAAUCUUUGGGUAAAUCGGAGGGCUUAACCUUCCGACUUCCGAGGAGACUGCCGAACUUGGGACCGGGAGAGGCUAGAGGUACUUCUGGGGUAGGGGUAAAAUCCUGUAAUCCUAGAAGGACCACCGCUGGCGAAGGCGUCUAGCUAGAACGGAUCCGACGGUGAGGGACGAAGCCCUGGGUCGCAAACGGGAUUAGAUACCCCGGUAGUGCAGGGUGUAAACGCUGCAGACUUGCUGU